CGCGAAGAUCCAGUCCUUUUGGGAAAACCAAGUCUACAAAGUGAAGGAGAGGAAAGCAGAUGACAGUCCAGUGUAUGUCAUCAGCCCUGAAAAUGGCCAAGGCAGAGAUAAAGUGGUGCACAGAAAUCUCCUACUGCCCUGUGACUUCCUACCAAGUGAGAAGCCAUCAACACAGACUGUUCAGCCCCAAAAAGACUCUCCGACUGUGACAAGGAAGAAGUUCAGACCUCCGCGUAGACAGCAGCAGCCAGGGAAUGGCGACACAUCGGAUGAUGACGACAGUGGCACCUUCCAGUGGUACCUCAGGCCGGUUCCAGGGAGACGACAGAGGCAGACUCCGCUUAACCCUUUGGCAGAGUCCUUCCAGCCUCAUCUGAGUCUCCACUGUCAAGAAGAGGAUUUGCCACUACAGAGCGAAGAGGAUUUGCCACUACAGAGCGAAGAGGAUUUGCCACUACAGAGCGAAGAGGAUUUGCCACUACAAACUGAAGAGACUGGGCCUGGGCAGAUCCAAGGCCCUGACUCUGACAAUGACAGGCCAUUGAGUGGUGAUGCUAUGACUGACAUUCUAGCUGCAACUGGUGGUGAGACUGACUCUGUGAGGCAGCGGCCUCAAAGACAAAGACAGCAACCAACGGUACUGAGCUAUGACACUUUAGGUCAGCCAACUUUGGUUCAGAGGAACUGUACAGUGACUAUGGCUCAGGUUAUUGACUGUAAUGGCUUCUGGAGACCAUGGGCUGUGGGAGUGUGUUAAAACUAUGGUUGAAUAGAUGAUGCACACAGAAAUGUCAGGUGACAUUUAAUUUUGUGGGGGAGAGUGUGGCACUAUGUUAAAGACAGAGACAUGAAAAUAGUAGCCCCCCAUUUUAUUUGAUGCUCAGAGACAUUUUCUUUUAGUAAGGCCACUGCAAUGUAAGUUUUACUGUUGUAUAAGUUCCGCCAGCAGAGGGCGCUCGGUCCUGUACGCAUCGGUAGCUGACGCUACAGUAGAAGAAGUAGUGUCAGUGAUGAAGAGGCAGCGUACGGCCUGCGCGCCAAAGAUAACUGAUUGCCUUAUUUCUCUGUUUUUACAGUUUUCUGUAAAAAUAAAUAUGUUGCACGGGAGAUGAGUUGGCCCAUCAUUUCAACAGUGUAACA
ensembl:lncRNA